rnacentral:rRNA from 1 species
UACGGGGGGGACAAGCGUUGUUCGGAAUUACUGGGCGUAAAGGGCUCGUAGGCGGCCAACUAAGUCAUACGUGAAAUCCCUCGGCUUAACCGGGGAACUGCGUCUGAUACUGGAUGGCUUGAGUUCGGGAGAGGGAUGCGGAAUUCCAGGUGUAGCGGUGAAAUGCGUAGAUAUCUGGAGGAACACCGGUGGCGAAGGCGGCAUCCUGGACCGAUACUGACGCUGAGGAGCGAAAGCCAGGGGAGCAAACGGG